rnacentral:rRNA from 1 species
GAUGAACGCUGGCGGCGUGCUUAACACAUGCAAGUCGAGCGAAGCAGUUAAGAAGAUUCUUCGGAUGAUUCUUAAGUGACUGAGCGGCGGACGGGUGAGUAACGCGUGGGUGACCUGCCCCAUACCGGGGGAUAACAGCUGGAAACGGCUGCUAAUACCGCAUAAGCGCACAGAGCUGCAUGGCUCGGUGUGAAAAACUCCGGUGGUAUGGGAUGGGCCCGCGUCUGAUUAGGCAGUUGGCGGGGUAACGGCCCACCAAACCGACGAUCAGUAGCCGGCCUGAGAGGGCGACCGGCCACAUUGGGACUGAGACACGGCCCAAACUCCUACGGGAGGCAGCAGUGGGGAAUAUUGCACAAUGGGGGAAACCCUGAUGCAGCGACGCCGCGUGAGCGAAGAAGUAUUUCGGUAUGUAAAGCUCUAUCAGCAGGGAAGAUAAUGACGGUAC